rnacentral:rRNA from 1 species
GACGAACCGUGCGAACGUUAUUCGGAAUCACUGGGCUUAAAGCGCGUGUAGGCGGCCCGGCGCGUCUUUCGCUGAAAUCCCCCGGCUCAACCGGGGAAGGGGCGGGGAUACGGCCGGGCUGGAGGGGGGUAGGGGGAUCGGGAACUUCCGGUGGAGCGGUGAAAUGCGUUGAGAUCGGAAGGAACGCCCGCGGCGAAAGCGCGGUCCUGGACCCCACCUGACGCUGAGACGCGAAAGCCAGGGGAGCGAACGGG